rnacentral:rRNA from 2 species
UCCAGGGCUACACACGUGCUACAAUGGCCGGUACAAAGGGCAGCGAAACCGCGAGGUGGAGCGAAUCCCAAAAAGCCGGUCUCAGUUCGGAUUGGAGUCUGCAACUCGACUCCAUGAAGUUGGAAUCGCUAGUAAUCGCGUAUCAGCAUGACGCGGUGAAUACGUUCCCGGGCCUUGUACACACCGCCCGUCACACCACGGGAGUCUGUUGUACCGGAAAACGGUGGGCUAACCUUCGGGAGGCAGCCGUUUAUGGUAUGGCCGGUAACUGGGGUGAAGUCGUAACAAGGUAGCCGUAGGGGAACCUGCGGCUGGAUCACCUCCUUUCUAAGGAG